rnacentral:rRNA from 1 species
GCAUGUGGUUUAAUUCGAUGAUACGCGAGGAACCUUACCUGGGCUCAAAUGUAUGUUGACGUAUUCUGAAAGGGAUACGUUCUUCGGACAAUAUCAAGGUGCUGCAUGGUUGUCGUCAGCUCGUGCCGUGAGGUGUCGGGUUAAGUCCCGUAACGAGCGCAACCCUUGUCCUUAGUUACCAGCACGUUAUGGUGGGCACUCUAAGGAGACUGCCGGUGACAAACCGGAGGAAGGUGGGGAUGACGUCAAGUCAUCAUGGCCCUUACGGCCUGGGCUACACACGUGCUACAAUGGUCGGUACAAAGGGUUGCCAAGCCGCGAGGUGGAGCUAAUCCCAUAAAACCGAUCGUAGUCCGGAUCGCAGUCUGCAACUCGACUGCGUGAAGUCGGAAUCGCUAGUAAUCGUGAAUCAGAAUGUCACGGUGAAUACGUUCCCGGGCCUU